UUUGGGAAUGGGUUUCUAUAAUUUCUCCUUCUAUUCUGCAGAAGACAUGAGAACUGUGUGUGCCAUUGGUGCCUAGAGCUAGAAACCGGGUUUUCUGUGUCUUUAUUUUGCCAAGGUCCUAGUGGAUAUUGAUCUUAAGGUGGAACUUCGCAAUCAAUUUCUUGUGGAAAGAGAAGGCUUUGCUUUCUUUGUUCAGGUUGAAU
rnacentral:lncRNA from 1 species